GNGGAANCGGACUAACACUCAUCAACCCUGUGAACAUACCUAAAACGUUGCCUCGGCGGGAACAGACGGCCCCGUAACACGGGCCGCCCCCGCCAGAGGACCCCCUAACUCUGUUUCUAUAAUGUUUCUUCUGAGUAAACAAGCAAAUAAAUUAAAACUUUCAACAACGGAUCUCUUGGCUCUGGCAUCGAUGAAGAACGCAGCGAAAUGCGAUAAGUAAUGUGAAUUGCAGAAUUCAGUGAAUCAUCGAAUCUUUGAACGCACAUUGCGCCCGCCAGUAUUCUGGCGGGCAUGCCUGUUCGAGCGUCAUUACAACCCUCAGGCCCCCGGGCCUGGCGUUGGGGAUCGGCGGAAGCCCCCUGCGGGCACAACGCCGUCCCCCAAAUACAGUGGCGGUCCCGCCGCAGCUUCCAUUGCGUAGUAGCUAACACCUCGCAACUGGAGAGCGGCGCGGCCACGCCGUAAAACACCCAACUUCUGAAUGUUGACCUCGAAUCAGGUAGGAAUACCCGCUGAACUUAAGCAUAUCAAUAAGCGGAGAGA
rnacentral:rRNA from 1 species